GCUGACCUCUCCGAGCGCAGGCAGGCAGGCCCUAUCAAAAGCACAGGGGUAAAUCUGAGUCAAACCCACAACAGAUUUGACUGAUUGCUGCUUUCUGGGACGGUUGUAACUGUGCUAUUUAGCGUGGGCUGUAAGACGUCAGAGAUGCUCGGUGUGGUCAAGUGACUGCUGACUUCAUGGAGUCUGAGAAGGUGACCUUGCCCUCAUUGUCUAUAAACAUCAACUGGAGGUCAGCCAGCAGUCAGACCACACCGACGAGCAUUUCCAGCACCGCUGCCCGAGUCCUGGAGGAUCUGCUGUGUCCAUCUGCCUUCAGCGCUCAAUAUUUACCCAAGUAAAGGUGACUCUUGUAUACAAGGAGAUUCCUGUAUAUGAUCCAGCGUCCGUGACAUCUGAACGUAUCAUGGCAGCUCAUGCUACUUUUAGCAUAUCGAGCCUCAUGACUGGACUCGCUUGUCAUGGAAUUUAUCCAGAAUAUUCUUGCAGAGACUUUCACAAAGCCUCAUGUAAACACCCUCCACUGAAGCUUUGAUCAACAUAUACUCAACAGAGCUUGUCUCUUGAAUUUCUCUAAUGCCUGAUAAAAGUUUACGAGAUGAUUAGAUGAUUGUUGUUAGUAUACUCUGGGAUGAACUACAUGUGUUAUCGCUCAUGGCAAAUAAAGUGCACAUUAAAUGCAGAACAGAACAUCACUAAAACUGCACUUUUAUUGAGAAUAAAUUCAAAUGUGAUGU